UACGUAGGGUGCGAGCGCUGUCCGGAAUUAUUGGGCGUAAAGGGCUCGUAGGCGGUUUGUCGCGUCGGGAGUGAAAACUCAGGGCUUAACCCUGAGCCUGCUUCCGAUACGGGCAGACUAGAGGUAUGCAGGGGAGAACGGAAUUCCUGGUGUAGCGGUGAAAUGCGCAGAUAUCAGGAGGAACACCAGUGGCGAAGGCGGUUCUCUGGGCAUUACCUGACGCUGAGGAGCGAAAGUGUGGGGAGCGAACAGG
rnacentral:rRNA from 1 species